GUGGGGAAUCUUAGACAAUGGGGGCAACCCUGAUCUAGCCAUGCCGCGUGAUCGAUGAAGGACUUAGGGUUGUAAAGAUCUUUCAGCUGGGAAGAUAAUGACGGUACCAGCAGAAGAAGCCCCGGCUAACUCCGUGCCAGCAGCCGCGGUAAUACGGAGGGGGCUAGCGUUGUUCGGAAUUACUGGGCGUAAAGCGCACGUAGGCGGAUUGGAAAGUUGGGGGUGAAAUCCCGGGGCUCAACCCCGGAACUGCCUUCAAAACUCCCAGUCUUGAGGUCGAGAGAGGUGAGUGGAAUUCCGAGUGUAGAGGUGAAAUGCGUAGAUAUUCAGAGGAACACCAGUGGCGAAGGCGGCUCACUGGCUCGAUACUGACGCUGAGGUGCGAAAGCGUGGGGAGCAAACAGGAUUAGAUACCCGAGUAGUCC
rnacentral:rRNA from 1 species